rnacentral:rRNA from 1 species
GACGAACCGUGCGAACGUUAUUCGGAUUCACUGGGCUUAAAGGGCGCGUAGACGGGCGACCGCGUCGAUGGCUAAAAGCCCCCGGCUCAACCGGGGAAUGGGCCUCGAUACGGGUCGCCUCGAGUGGAGGAGGGGGACCUGGAACUUCCGGUGGAGCGGUGAAAUGCGUAGAUAUCGGGAGGAACACCAGUGGCGAAGGCGACUUCCUGGCCUGUUCUUGACGCUGAGGCGCGAAAGCUAGGGGAGCAAACGGG